rnacentral:lncRNA from 1 species
AGCUGCCCUGCAGAUGGGGUAGCAGCCAGCUUAGCGGAGUCGGGCUCCAGCAGUUCAGACACGAGGCCGGACCCCGCACCCCGGCCCCUGCUGGCGGCCGUGGUGAGAGAGAAAGUCACUGCUUGCUCUCUGCACCCCUCCUCAGCUGAGGGCAGAGCUGCCUCUUUUCCCUGAAGGGAAAAACAAGGGCGGUAGCAGCCCUUUCAAGUUUUCCCAUGCUGUGUCGAUGUAAGUUUGAGCUCGUGUUCACCCGGUAAUCCUGCUGGCCAGGUCCAUGUACCGUCCAGCAUCUUUCAGAUGGAGGGCAACUGGUUCUUAGCAGGGUUCUGGAGAUGGUAGUAACAAGAUUGCAGUGGGAGCACAUCUGAGCGCUUGACCUUGAAGCCUCCGGGGAGAGCAGACACUGCAGAUUUCUCCUGCCCUUGACUUACCAGAGAGUACUUGAUGGAUUAAUAGAACUGAUAGAGUGUCAGGCCGGGCGGAGCUGAGGUCAUGCGGCUGGAAUGCAGAGAGGCGCCCACCGGGCCGCCGGGGACGGAGAGGUGGGCGGGUCACCGGACAGGAAGUCGGCUGAGCGCUGCAGGCCAUGGGCGGGCCGGGAGCGAGCGAGGGGAGCCGGGCGGAGGCGGUGGGCAGGGCCCAGGGUCUCCUCCUCAGUCCGGCGGGCGGGCCCUGAGGGCGGGGAGUUAGUGUCUCUAGUGAGCCGCGAGAGAAACUGGAGAUGAAGUUUCUUCCAGUUUCCAAAUACCGUGUUUCUAAAACAUCACGCGGUGAAGUCUUUUCUUCAGGAACAGGAUACACACAUAUAUGUCGUUGUUUUGGCAAGCGUUCUGCAGGAAGCUUUAGGCGAGGCUGUGAGUGCAUUGUCCUAGAGCCUUCUGAAAUGAUUGUGGUGGACUAUAUGGAUGAAAAUGAAGAAUAUUUUCAGCGUCAAGCCUCUCACAGACAGUCUCGAAGAAGAUUUAGAAAAAUCAACCAGAAAGGUGAAAGACAAACAAUUAUUGAUACUGUGGAUCCUUAUCCUAUGGGCAAACCACCCUUGCCUAGAGGCUAUCAUACGGUAAAUUACACAGAUGUAAAAUCUUUAUUUAUUUUAUUUUUUGGAAGUUGGGUGAAAAGACUUUUAAAAUUUUCAUUUUGGAUGAGUAAUUUUCUAUGA